CUUCAUUAAGAGUGAAGGGAGAUGUUUAAGUGACUCGCGGACCAUGAUACACAGUUGCGUGACUACUUUCAUAUCGUCGGUGAGAAACGAGGAGAUAUUUUCCACCGGCGGGAUUUCAACGGCGGUGAAAUCGGCCGGGAGAUUCUCCGGUCGGAAAAGUUCGUUCUGAGCAGCGGAAGCUGCGGUGGUGAUGACGAAGAAGCUGACGUGGAAGCCGUGAUGUAUGACGAGGCGUUUGGCGAAUUCGAAUAACGGAGUAAUGUGCCCCAUGCCGGGG
rnacentral:misc_RNA from 1 species